UCAAACUUAGUAACGGUUUGGGCCAGGAUUGGCUCCACCGUCCCUCUCUGGCGUGUAGUUAUUCUGGUAUUGUCCAGCACCAUUCCAUCCUGCAUUAGAUGGCGGACCCAUGUUGUUUGGUGGCACCCCUCCCAGGUUAUUGGGAGGCAUCUGAUUGUAGUUGUUGGGAGGCACCUGAUUGUAGUUGUUGGGAGGUGCCUGAUUGUAGUUGUUGGGAGGCCCAGAGUUCCAGUUGCUGCUUGGCGGGGGAUUAUUGUAGUUGUUUGGUGGACCCAUGUUGUGAGGCGGCAUUGGAGCCCUGUUGGGGGGUGGAGGACCCAUGUUGGGAGGCAUCGGGCCUGGACCCAUGUUGGGAGGUGGAGGACCCCUGUUGGGGGGUGGAGGACCCAUGUUGGCAGGUCCAGGUCCCGAAUUUGGGCCAGCUUGAUUAGGCAUAGGAGAUGGACCGGUAUUUUCCCUCCUCCUUUCAAAGUUCCUGGAUCUGUCAAAGUUACGAGGUCUGUCAUUACGUCUAUUUCUCUCAUUUGCUCGACUAUUGUUUCUUAUCCAUUCUUCA
rnacentral:lncRNA from 1 species